rnacentral:rRNA from 1 species
AUUGAACGCUGGCGGAAUGCUUUACACAUGCAAGUCGAACGGCAGCACGGGGGCAGCCCUGGUGGCGAGUGGCGAACGGGUGAGUAAUACAUCGGAACGUGCCCGGUCGUGGGGGAUAACGUAGCGAAAGUUACGCUAAUACCGCAUACGAUCUGAGGAUGAAAGCGGGGGACCUUCGGGCCUCGCGCGAACGGAGCGGCCGAUGUCAGAUUAGGUAGUUGGUGGGGUAAAGGCCUACCAAGCCGACGAUCUGUAGCUGGUCUGAGAGGAUGACCAGCCACACUGGGACUGAGACACGGCCCAGACUCCUACGGGAGGCAGCAGUGGGGAAUUUUGGACAAUGGGCGCAAGCCUGAUCCAGCCAUUCCGCGUGCAGGACGAAGGCCUUCGGGUUGUAAACUGCUUUUGUACGGAACGAAAAGGCUCUGGCUAAUACCUGGGGCUCAUGACGGUACCGUAAGAAUAAGCACCGGCUAACUACGUG